AGGACGAACGCUGGCGGCGCGCUUAACACAUGCAAGUCGAACGUGAAGCUGGAGCUUGCUCCGGUGGAAAGUGGCGAACGGGUGCGUAACACGUGAGCAACCUGCCCCGAAGACUGGGAUAACACCGGGAAACCGGUGCUAAUACCGGAUACCUUCUUCCGAUCGCAUGGUUGGAUGAAGAAAUGGAUUCCGCUUCGGGAUGGGCUCGCGGCCUAUCAGCUUGUUGGUGAGGUAACGGCCCACCAAGGCGACGACGGGUAGCUGGUCUGAGAGGACGACCAGCCACACUGGGACUGAGACACGGCCCAGACUCCUACGGGAGGCAGCAGUGGGGAAUCUUGCUCAAUGGGCGAAAGCCUGAAGCAGCGACGCCGCGUGCGGGAUGAAGGCCCUCGGGUUGUAAACCGCUUUCAGCAGGGACGAAAUUGACGGUACCUGCAGAAGAAGGCCCGGCCAACUACGUGCCAGCAGCCGCGGUAA
rnacentral:rRNA from 1 species